UUUGAAUUAUCAUAGAUGCCAACCCCCUUUUGACACAAUCAGUAACAAACUAUCAAAUUUUCCGUAUUUUUGAAAAGUUUUCAGUAAUCAUUCAUAAACGUGCAUUUACCAAUAAAAAUUACUGACGAGUGGUUGCACAGUGAUGUACACUAAAAUUUGUCACUUAACAUGUUGUCUGUAGUAUGUAUUCCAUUCAUUGAUUGUUCAGAUGUUCUCGACUCAAACAUUUUUUUUUUGUCAAGGAGAAGUAGAGAAAGGGGGAAAGCUACUUAAUAAAAUGCAAGUUUGCCUCUUCAGAAGUCAGUUAGUUACCCAACAAUAGGUUGAUAACUCCCGAAAAACCGGAAGCAUUACAUUGGCGUUUCCUAAAUACUGGACCAGGACGGAAAAGUAAUGAUAAAAAUCCGCGUUUUACAAAAUUGAACGUCAAUGAUUGGGAAUCCGUAACUAU
rnacentral:lncRNA from 1 species